AUUUCAUGCACUGGUCCGAGAAGCCUAUCAGCUGGAGCAGAGCGGAUCACCCAGAGGUGAUGCCAAGUCCGGGCUCCUACGCCUUGGUCUUGGAUGCCACUUAUGCCACAGAUAGACAAGCAACUCGUUUCUCGUGAGUUCUGAUAGACGGAGGCAGCAGCAUUAACAUCCUGUACAAUGACACCAUGGAGAAGUUAGGAAUCAAGCAAAGACAGCUUCAGAGCAGCCGGACUGUAUUCCAUGGCAUAGUUCCUGGCCUUUCCUGCUCACCCAUCGGCAAGAUCCUGAUAGAUGUCCUCUUUGGAGACAAAGAUCACUUCCGCCGAGAGCCAGUUUGGUUUGAAGUGGUGGACCUCGAGAGCCCGUACCAUGCGUUGCUUGGCCGACCUACUUUGGCCAAGUUCAUUGCGGUUACCCACUACGCCUACCUCAAGAUGAAGAUGCCGAGUUCCAAGGGGAUUCUGACUAUAGCCGGCGACUACAGAAAGUCGUCUGCCUGUGCGUCUGAAAGCAGUCGGCUAGCCGAGUCCCUGGUGAUCGUAAGUGAGAAGCGGCUCCUUGAUUGGGUUGUGGCGAUGGACGGCAAGCAGCCGGAGAUGUCGCCCAACCCCCAGGAGUCGGAGGCUGAGGGUUCGUUCAAGCCGGCCAAAGAGACGAAGAAGAUACCCUUGGACCCGGAGCACCCGGAAUGGUACGCUAUCACAGGUGCAAAUGUCGACAGCAAAUAGGAAGGCGAGCUCGUCGAUUUCCUCCGUGAGAAUCGGGACAUCUUUGCAUGGUCCCCUAAAGACAUGCCAGGUGUACCGACGGAAUUCGUCGAGCACAAGUUACAUGUCCGAUCUGAUGUCAAGCCAGUCAGGCAGCCCUUGCGCCGCCUGUCAGAAGAAAAUAGAAGAGUUGUUGGAGAAGAGAUAGCCCGACUCCUAGCAGCCGACUUCAUUAUGGAAGUAUUCUUUCCAGAAUGGCUAGCCAACCCGGUCCUGGUGCUGAAGAAGAACAAGCAGUGGCGAAUGUGUAUUGACUACACUAGCCUCAACAUAGCAUGCCCCAAGGACCCAUUCGCUUUGCCAAGAAUUGAUCAGGUGAUAGACUCCACACCCGGAUGCGAGCUGUUGAGCUUCUUAGAUGCAUAUUCAGGAUAUCAACAGAUCAAGCUAAACCCGGCUGCAGACUGAAGACCACCUUCAUCACCCCGUUUGGAGCCUUCUGCUACCUGAAUAUGACGUUUGGCUUGAGGAAUGCUGGCGCCACCUUUUAGUGUUGCAUGCAGAACUGCCUCCUCAAGCAACUCGGCAGAAACACCCACGUUUACGUGGACGAUGUGGUGGUGAAGACGGAAAAGCAUGGAACACUGCUACAAGACCUCAAGGAGACCUUUGAGAACUUGCGCCGAUUUCAGAUCAAGCUCAACCCUGAGAAGUGCAUCUUCGGAGUACCAUCCGGCCAGCUCCUUGGCUUCUUGGUCUCUGAACGCGGCAUAUAGUGCAACCCUGUGAAGAUCAAGGACAUUGAGAGGAUGGAAGUACCCAGCCGACUGCUGGACGUGCAAAAGUUCACUGGCUGCUUGGCGUCCAUUAGCUGAUUCAUCAGUCGGCUGGGCGAGAAAGCUCUCCCCUUAUAUCAGCUCAUGAAGAAGACCACUUUUUUCAAGUGGAACCACCACUACUAGGGAAAAGGCUAGCAGCAGCGCGGGUUUUCAGGCUAGCAGCAGCGCGGGUGAUCGCGCUACUAAUAAGGCACUACAGCUAACUCAUAGUAGUAGCGCGGCCCCAACCAGCGCUACUACUGUUGAACGAUAUCAGCAGCGCUUUUCAGGAACGCGCUACUAUUAACUAGCUGUAGCGAUUUCUUCAUCCCACGCUACUGCUAUCUCUUUCAUCAUUUUCCAUUUCAACUCUCCCUUCAGAUGCUAGAAAAUAGGUACUAUCUUUCAUCAAAUUCAUAACCAUUACUAGGUACGGUAGUACUCCCUUCGUUCCAAAUUACUCGUCGUGGUUUUAGUUCAAACCACGACGAGUAAUUUGGAACGAAGGGAGUACUAAGAUAACAAUUUCAUGCAUAGCCAACAUGCAUCCUCAAGCAGUACAUGCAUGGUCAUAUCAACGGCCAUCAUCAUAUGUAGUUUUAGAUGAUAUCGACGACGAUCAUCAUAUGUAGUUCUAGAUGAUAUAGCCACACACACAUAUGUAGUUCUAGAUGAUAUAGCCACACACACAUGUAGUUCUAGAUGAUAUCGAAGACAAUCAUCAUCCUCAAGCCUGGGCGGUUGGUGUUCCUGAUAGUAAUUAGGAUGGCCUGUCCAACACGAAGAUUCUUGUCAUCGAGGAAUUUCUUCCACGCAACCGAGCUUAAGUGUGUG
rnacentral:lncRNA from 1 species